CCUACGGGGGGCAGCAGUCGAGAAUCAUUCACAAUGGGGGAAACCCUGAUGGUGCGACGCCGCGUGGGGGAAUGAAGGUCUUCGGAUUGUAAACCCCUGUCAUGUGGGAGCAAAUUAAAAAGAUAGUACCACAAGAGGAAGAGACGGCUAACUCUGUGCCAGCAGCCGUGGUAAUACAGAGGUCUCAAGCGUUGUUCGGAAUCACUGGGCGUAAAGCGUGCGUAGGCUGUUUCGUAAGUCGUGUGUGAAAGGCGCGGGCUCAACCCGCGGACGGCACAUGAUACUGCGAGACUAGAGUAAUGGAGGGGGAACCGGAAUUCUCGGUGUAGCAGUGAAAUGCGUGGAUAUCGAGAGGAACACUCGUGGCGAAGGCGGGUUCCUGGACAUUAACUGACGCUGAGGCACGAAGGCCAGGGGAGCGAAAGGGAUUAGAUACCCCUGUAGUC
rnacentral:rRNA from 1 species